rnacentral:rRNA from 1 species
AACGCGAAGAACCUUACCUGGACUAGAAUGUGAGGGAAUGUCGGGUAAUGCCGGCAGUCCGGGAAACCGGACCCAAAACAAGGUGCUGCAUGGCUGUCGUCAGCUCGUGUCGUGAGAUGUUGGGUUAAGUCCCGCAACGAGCGCAACCCUUAUCAACAGUUGCCAUCAUUAAGUUGGGAACUCUGUUGAGACUGCCGUUGAUAAAACGGAGGAAGGUGGGGAUGAUGUCAAGUCAUCAUGGCCUUUAUGUUCAGGGCUACACACGUGCUACAAUGGACGGUACAAAACGUCGCAAUCUCGUAAGAGGGAGCUAAUCGCUAAAACCGUUCUCAGUUCGGAUUGAAGUCUGCAACUCGACUUCAUGAAGUUGGAAUCGCUAGUAAUCGCAAAUCAGCAUGUUGCGGUGAAUACGUUCCCGGGUCUGUACACACCG